rnacentral:rRNA from 1 species
AUUGAACGCUGGCGGCAUGCUUUACACAUGCAAGUCGAACGGUAACAGGCCGCAAGGUGCUGACGAGUGGCGAACGGGAGAGAAAUGCAUCGGAACGUGCCCAGUCGUGGGGGAUAACGCAGCGAAAGCUGCGCUAAUACCGCAUACGAUCUACGGAUGAAAGCGGGGGACCGUAAGGCCUCGCCCGAUUGGAGCGGCCGAUGUCUGAUUAGGUAGUUGGUGGGGUAUAGGCUCACCAAGCCAACGAUCUGUAGCUGGUCUGAGAGGACGACCAGCCACACUGGGACUGAGACACGGCCCAGACUCCUACGGGAGGCAGCAGUGGGGAAUUUUGGACAAUGGGCGCAAGCCUGAUCCAGCAAUGCCGCGUGCAGGAAGAAGGCCUUCGGGUUGUAAACUGCUUUUGUACGGAACGAAACGGUCCUGGUUAAUACCCGGGGCUAAUGACGGUACCGUAAGAAUAAGCACCGGCUAACUACGUGCCAGCAGCCGCGGUAACAC